GAUUGGAUGCACUCCAGGAAACUGAUCAUAAGACAGAUGUCAUCGUAGUGAACAACCGUAAAUCUGAACAGAAGGCGGUGACUAGUGCCGAUGAAUGCACUAUCCCCUCAAAGCGACAUUAGUGUGGUGAUAGGUCUGCACUGAAUCUAUGGAAAAGCUUUGAGUAGAGAGAAUAAAGAUGGUUUGUAAGUUAAGCAGUCGAGUGUUUGAUUGAGCGCUAAAUCUAUCACAAAUUGGCGACGAGGAUAGCUGUCAAUUCGUGUUUUCGGGGGGAAUCGGAGGUUUACUAACCAGAUUCAGUAACGGUGUGUGCGUGAAAGCGGUGACACUGCGUCUGGAGAGCAGGAGAGAAUUUUUUCAUAAAACAGCUCACCAGUGAGUUGUGUCAUAGUCUGUGUUUAGUAAACAGGAAGAACCGGAAGAACUGACUGAUAAGCUCUGUGCCUAGUAAACAGAACAGUCCGCAUCUAGGAAGCGGCGGAAAAUUGCAAAGCCUGCGAGUUGGUGGAAAACUUGACAGGAGAGCCCGCAUCUAGGUAGCGGUAGAAAAUUUGUUGGUUGCAAAUUGGAAGCUCUGUGUCGAAAGGAAAACUUUUUGCUAGGUGGAGUUUGUUAUACUGCGUCUGAAUAGUGAUUAUUACGGAGCUGCAUUCGUGAAGCAAUGGAUGGCAACAAAUUCUUUUCUAAGCUGCCGGCAUUUACAAUCGCCGGAGUUCCUCUUACGGAUUGCAGGAAUAGAUGGAACACUCGGCAAAGAGGGUUCGAAAUCUGUUUAAGAGCAACGAAAGUAAAAGAUGGAACAGAGAAGAAGGAUAUGCUUCUGGCGUGCGGCUCGUUUGAACUUCAAGACAUUUUCUUCAAUGGAUAUUGAAGCAGACGGAAAAGAAGGGAUCGAUCCAUACGUCGUGGCGAUUGGGAAACUGGAUGAUUAUUUCGCACCCCAAAGACAUGAGGCUCGCGAACGCUUUCUGUUUUGGGCUAUGAAGCCAGAGCCGGAGAAAACACUGGAAAAAUUCUUAAUGCGUGCGCAAGCUCAUGGGUCGUAAUGUAAUUUUGGAAAAUCCGCUUCGGAAAAUGUCGGUAUAGCGAUUGUGGACAAGAUGCUCCAGUUUGUGCCUAAUCAGUUGCGGGCAAAGUUGCUUCAGGAGAAAGAUUUGACGCUAGAGGGGAAGCUAGAGGAACAAGUAAACUCAUUCGAGACCUCACUUGUGGCUAGCGAUCAGAUGGCUGGUCAAAGUAGUCCGCUACAAGCAAACAGACCUGCUGAUAAUAUUCAGUAUGUUGCGACGCCCUGUAGAUUCUGUGCUCGUUUCCACGGAAAACCGCCUUGUCCGGCACGAGAUAAAAAAUGUGCGAACUGCCAAAAACGUGGUGCGCCUUGCUAUUCAUCGCCGGGACAGGUGUCAUCGAGCUAACCAUUUAGCAGUAAUAACUUGAACAGACAAACCUCUUUCAAAAGGCCUUACGAGCGAUCGUCUCUUUCUAGUUCAGGUCAAAUUUCGGGUCCAAUAGCGAAGAGAAAAGUAACGCAAUUUACUCGGAAAGUACAUGCUAUUGAGGAUCAAGACGAAGAAGAACAAGGGUAACUUGUGGAGAUAGUUUCUUCUGGUAACGAUUCCGAUGAGUUGAUCUAGGCCAAAGUAGGUGGCGUUCAUAUCGAGAUGCAAAUAUACUCGGGGGUUCAAUCGAACAACAUUGACGAUCGGACAUGGAACUCGAUGAACCGGAAUGGAAUUGACGUGAUUGGAGAGGUUCGUGGGUCUGAUCGAAGGUUCAAGGCGUAUGCUCAAGCAGACUGUUCAGAAGUAACCGCUAUGUUUGAUGCAGAAAUUGUCAUUCCGGAUGGACACAAGCAGCUCAAAGCUGUGUCACGUUUUUAUGUUGUGAGAAACGGACCUCAGCCUCUGUUGGGAAAGCAGACGGCGAAGCAAUUAGGGGUUUCAGCAGUCGGAUUACCCAGUCAGCGGGAACUGGUUAGAUCAAGUCGAUGCCUGUCGGAUAUUCCUAUGUAUUCCGAGGGGUAAAAAUAAGUAUUCCUGAAGAUAAGUCGAUCGAACCAGUUGCUCAGCGUCUCCGCCGUUAACCAUUACCGAUGUUGGGAAAGGUAGAUGAAAAACUGAACGAUUUGCUGUCCAAAGAUAUAAUUGAGAGGAUGUCUGAACCGAGCCGUUGGGUGUCACCAAUGGUUAUAGUGGUCAAGGACAACGGAGACAUCAGACUUUGUAUCGAUAUGCGGCGGCUUAACAAAGCAAUACUCCGAGAGACACAUCCAUUAAAGAUGCCUUUCAUCAGCUCCAGCUCGACGAUGCACAGUGGUUCCGUUUUCUAAGAAGGGCGGUAAUAAAUAUUGUUUUCCUAUGUUUUGAGUUCAAAACGUCAAUCUUAGUGUUUUUUUCGAUGCUGAAUUCGAAAAUCACAUCUAUUUUGUAGUAUUUUCUAGAGAUUCGUGGUCAAGAGUCGUCUCAUCAAUUACUGGUAUCUUUUACCAACUUUGGCUUGACUAUUAUUUUUUACUAUGUAAUUUUCCAAACUUUUAUUGCUCGAUGCCAGAAAUUUAAUGAGUGUAUACAUAUAAAAGAAGUGUGUUUUUCGAUGUGUAUUUGAAAAUUAGGGAUAUGUUUGGCUCACAACAUUUAUUUGAUAUCGUAAUACAUAUUAAGGAAAUUACAAUGAACAAAAAAUAUAAUUCACAUAAUGUCAUAAAAAGUGAUAAAAAAAAUCUCUGCGUUCUCGGCUGACCACGAAAAAAAACUGUUCUCUCUUUGGUGCCGUUAUCAUACUUCGAAAAUAAAAGAUAGAUCUGCUCUGUUUCAUUCAACCAUGUGGCAUAUCUUUUUAUGCAGUUGCUCUUUGUUCUAUCACAUUAUUUCAAAGAAACUGAUAAUCGUGUGCAACUGUAAUGUAUUCGAGCUAUUCAUCUAGCUUCAAGUUAUAAAAAUCCCGUAGUGUUGAGUGUAUAGAUUCUGAAACAUUUUGUAUCUUCUAAUGAAUUCUUCCAGAU